CUGGAAUCAAAGUUCAUGUCCAGGCUGGACGAAUACUCUCCUAGGCUUCUGAACCUUUUCCACUCAAAGGGUGGGGCCAUCGGAUUAAGGUUGUGGACUGUCCUACUGAAGGCUCCUAGCAAUCCUACUGUCAGCUUGACGUGAGACCUUGUCAUCCAGUGUUUGAUGUUGUACUUUGGGGAAUCUGCAGUUCCGCUCUUUACAGAGUAUUGUGAUGCAGAUGAAGACCAUGUGGCACAGAACCUUUCUGGACAAGCAAUGAAGAUCUACAGCAUCAAAACUGAUCCGUCAGAGGAUAAAGAGGACAUUGGUAUUGCGAUAGAUGGAACAAAGGUCCUAG